UUAGUUACGUAUUGGACUUGUGUGUUGAAGGUACCACAUGUUUUGAAGAAAACGUAACCACCCCAGUACUUGGUGCUUGUGACUUUGAGGAAACAUCCAAGUUUCAUUCCGGUCUGUCAGGUGGCCUUCAGAUGGUCCUAGGAUUGAUUGCACGAGAACAAUCCUCGAUGCACGCUGGAGUAGCCCACAAGGAACAGCUCUAGUAUUCGUGAUACCUUCCGCAUUCGUGUGCUUGCCUCAAGACAAUUCCCAUAGCUCCUCCACCUUGUUUUGCUGCAGUCUUGUAGUUGAAGGUGGAGCCGUAGCUUGGCGUUGAAACCCUGCACAGGGAUCACUUUGGAGCAGCUUCCCCACUGUUGUGAACUCGGGAACUUUGCAGGACCGUACUUGACGUGAACUGGCAGCCACCAAGCAUUCACCUCACAUACUCA